CUCGAAGAGUAGGGCGGGACACGUGGUAUCCUGUCUGAAUAUGGGGGGACCAUCCUCCAAGGCUAAAUACUCCUGACUGACCGAUAGUGAACCAGUACCGUGAGGGAAAGGCGAAAAGAACCCCGGCGAGGGGAGUGAAAAAGAACCUGAAACCGUGUACGUACAAGCAGUGGGAGCACCUUCGGGUGUGACUGCGUACCUUUUGUAUAAUGGGUCAGCGACUUAUAUUCUGUAGCAAGGUUAACCGUAUAGGGGAGCCGCAGGGAAACCGAGUCUUAACUGGGCGUUAAGUUGCAGGGUAUAGACCCGAAACCCGGUGAUCUAGCCAUGGGCAGGUUGAAGGUUGGGUAACACUAACUGGAGGACCGAACCGACUAAUGUUGAAAAAUUAGCGGAUGACUUGUGGCUGGGGGUGAAAGGCCAAUCAAACCGGGAGAUAGCUGGUUCUCCCCGAAAGCUAUUUAGGUAGCGCCUCGUGAACUCAUCUUCGGGGGUAGAGCACUGUUUCGGCUAGGGGGUCAUCCCGACUUACCAACCCGAUGCAAACUACGAAUACCGAAGAAUGUUAUCACGGGAGACACACGGCGGGUGCUAACGUCCGUCGUGAAGAGGGAAACAACCCAGACCGCCAGCUAAGGUCCCAAAGUCAUGGUUAAGUGGGAAACGAUGUGGGAAGGCACAGACAGCCAGGAUGUUGGCUUAGAAGCAGCCAUCAUUUAAAGAAAGCGUAAUAGCUCACUGGUCGAGUCGGCCUGCGCGGAAGAUGUAACGGGGCUAAACCAUGCACCGAAGCUGCGGCAGCGACGCUCAGGCGUUGUUGGGUAGGGGAGCGUUCUGUAAGCCUGCGAAGGUGGCCUGUGAGGGCUGCUGGAGGUAUCAGAAGUGCGAAUGCUGACAUAAGUAACGAUAAAGCGGGUGAAAAGCCCGCUCGCCGGAAGACCAAGGGUUCCUGUCCAACGUUAAUCGGGGCAGGGUGAGUCGACCCCUAAGGCGAGGCCGAAAGGCGUAGUCGAUGGGAAACAGGUUAAUAUUCCUGUACUUGGUGUUACUGCGAAGGGGGGACGGAGAAGGCUAUGUUAGCCGGGCGACGGUUGUCCCGGUUUAAGCAUGUAGGCUGGUUAUCCAGGCAAAUCCGGAUAAUCAAGGCUGAGGUGUGAUGACGAGGCACUACGGUGCUGAAGUAACAAAUGCCCUGCUUCCAGGAAAAGCCUCUAAGCAUCAGGUAACAUCAAAUCGUACCCCAAACCGACACAGGUGGUCAGGUAGAGAAUACCAAGGCGCUUGAGAGAACUCGGGUGAAGGAACUAGGCAAAAUGGUGCCGUAACUUCGGGAGAAGGCACGCUGGUGUGUAGGUGAAGUCCCUGCGGAUGGAGCUGAGACCAGUCGAAGAUACCAGCUGGCUGCAACUGUUUAUUAAAAACACAGCACUGUGCAAACACGAAAGUGGACGUAUACGGUGUGACGCCUGCCCGGUGCCGGAAGGUUAAUUGAUGGGGUUAUCCGUAAGGAGAAGCUCUUGAUCGAAGCCCCGGUAAACGGCGGCCGUAACUAUAACGGUCCUAAGGUAGCGAAAUUCCUUGUCGGGUAAGUUCCGACCUGCACGAAUGGCGUAAUGAUGGCCAGGCUGUCUCCACCCGAGACUCAGUGAAAUUGAACUCGCUGUGAAGAUGCAGUGUACCCGCGGCAAGACGGAAAGACCCCGUGAACCUUUACUAUAGCUUGACACUGAACAUUGAGCCUUGAUGUGUAGGAUAGGUGGGAGGCUUUGAAGCGUGGACGCCAGUCUGCGUGGAGCCAACCUUGAAAUACCACCCUUUAAUGUUUGAUGUUCUAACGUNNNNNNNNNNNNNNNNNNNCGGGGUUGCGGACAGUGUCUGGUGGGUAGUUUGACUGGGGCGGUCUCCUCCCAAAGCGUAACGGAGGAGCACGAAGGUUAGCUAAUCCUGGUCGGACAUCAGGAGGUUAGUGCAAUGGCAUAAGCUAGCUUGACUGCGAGCGUGACGGCGCGAGCAGGUGCGAAAGCAGGUCAUAGUGAUCCGGUGGUUCUGAAUGGAAGGGCCAUCGCUCAACGGAUAAAAGGUACUCCGGGGAUAACAGGCUGAUACCGCCCAAGAGUUCAUAUCGACGGCGGUGUUUGGCACCUCGAUGUCGGCUCAUCACAUCCUGGGGCUGAAGUAGGUCCCAAGGGUAUGGCUGUUCGCCAUUUAAAGUGGUACGCGAGCUGGGUUUAGAACGUCGUGAGACAGUUCGGUCCCUAUCUGCCGUGGGCGCUGGAGAAUUGAGGGGGGCUGCUCCUAGUACGAGAGGACCGGAGUGGACGCAUCACUGGUGUUCGGGUUGUCAUGCCAAUGGCACUGCCCGGUAGCUAAAUGCGGAAGAGAUAAGUGCUGAAAGCAUCUAAGCACGAAACUUGCCCCGAGAUGAGUUCUCCCUGAGACUUUAAGUCUCCUGAAGGAACGUUGAAGACGACGACGUUGAUAGGCCGGGUGUGUAAGCGCAGCGAUGCGUUGAGCUAACCGGUACUAAUGAACCGUGAGGCUUAACCUU
rnacentral:rRNA from 1 species